UCAGCCAUUUAUGUUACGUAUCAAAUGUUUCCAAGUUUGCAUGUAUGAACCUCAAAAACGGUAAACUGUGAUGAAAACCAGUUAAAACUUUGAGGUUUCAACAUGGAGGUGUGUCUGCUAGUGAUUCUCAUAAUUUCAGGUGUGUUUGCUGACAGCAUUAAACCAAAUGACAAGGAUACUAAUAUCAUUAAGACAGAAGGAGAGUCUGUGACACUGAGCUGCACAUAUGAUACAAGCAGCAGUUAUGUUAUGCUUUACUGGUACAGACAGUAUCCUAAUAGAGAACCUCAGUAUUUACUGUGGAAAGGUGCUCGAACAUACAGUGGAAGUGAGGAUAUACCAGACCCUCGUUUUCAGUCGACUACAUCCCAAACAUCCACUGAAAUAACUAUUAAGACUGCAACUCUGUCAGAUUCAGCUCUCUAUUACUGUGCUCUGAGAGUAGCAGCCCAGUGA